rnacentral:lncRNA from 1 species
CUUCUAUCAACUCUGACAUCAUUUUCUGCACCUCUGCUGUCACAUUGCAUGGGGUGCAAGAGCAUUUCAAAAUUACCAGUGGGCUUGAGCUGCAGAGCACGGCUCAUCGAUCAAACCUCUGAAUCCAUCUGAGAGAGUUUGAUCAGGUGUUUGAUUCCAGCCCUCUGCACAGACACACCUCUUCCCACACUCACAAUUUUAUUGGCACACCUGUUGUGACCCAGGUGGGAAAUUUUGUGCAUUUAGCAAAUCCAGGUCUAAUGGGGCAAACUAAGCAUCAAUUUUAUUUCACCAUGUAGGAGCAAGCUACGUCAAGUACUGCACAUCACUUUAUGAUCAUGCUAAAGCCACUGCGACAACAAGCCACCUCAGCAAGCUGUCAUUUUAAUGUUUUAUCCAUUCCCUUCUCGUGUGUGUUUGCUCCACAUUUCACUGAAGCCUCAUCUCCCCUGCCCACGGCUGCAGCAAAGCCCCGUCUCGAGCAUGUCACAUGGAAUGAACCAGGAAAACUCCACGCAAAACCUUCUGAUUGCUGGCUUCCAGAGGAAAAUUCCCUCCUGGCCAGAAAGCGAGGAGGACAAGUGAGACAGUGGUUGAACCUCACCUGAAUCAUUUUUCCAGUUUGCCAUUCAGCCACCAGAACACGUCCCUACAGCUCUGGAUCCAGCAGUUUAACAGCUCUAUUGUUUUCACUUGACUCCUGUGAAACUACCUGUGCUGGGAGUCAGCCACGUGGCUUUGAGUCUCCCUGAAUCCAUGCCCAAACAAACUUUAGAAGUCAAACCAGGUGAUGGGCAGAGCCUGGCAGGGAGCCCCAGAAUCCUGGCUGGCCCUUCAGUGCUGAGCUCGGGACCCUUCUCAUCCUCCAGGUCUGCAGAGCUCCCUACAACACAUCUGGCUGAAGAGGGAAGGAUGGGGGCUGAAAGGGGAAUUAUUUUCUUUUGCAGCUUUCAGUGCUUAUGACCCAAAUUGGGGAAGUGUGUAAGCUGAAAGAAAUGCCUGGGUGGAUUUGAAACUGAGAUCAGGGAUACAUUUUUCAGUGGUUCUUAUAUUAGUUUAAAAUGUACUUUUCACUCUUAUGAGCAUAGCUUCCUUUAAAUAAAUACACAGAUAACUUCUCCUGGUUGCCA